AGAAGUACCUCCUAUGGAUAGUAGGUGGGGGCAGAUGCCCCAGCAUCGUCGUCGUCAGGAGGGAAGGUGGUGUAGUAACCACCAGAUGCUGAACCGGAGCCUCCAUACCAUGGUUGGCUCUCAACCUCGUCAAUCUCGUCCUCACUGUCUGAAGAAGCGAGGGAUGGGGAUUUGUUGCCGGAAGUGGAAGGUUGAGUGGGUGGGUUCCUCCACUUACGCUGAAGCUGCGCAGCAGUGAGGGGGAAGCCAAGAGCAUCAGGCGGGGGUGGAGGCUGGGGG
rnacentral:lncRNA from 1 species